UAUUAAGUGAAGGCAUCAGUUAUUUUCUCAAAUAAUCAACAAGUUGCAUCCUGCAACUGACAUUGUUCAGCAAGGUUUCCAUUCCAACCUUCUAACUUAAUACACAGGUCUCCCUAGUUGACUUGCAGAUUUUAGAAGAUAUCAAUCAAUUGCAAAAUAUCAGAGCAACCCAAUAAAACAUAAAGAACUAUAUUCAUGAUAAGCACAAACUAAGCAAAAUAAUACAAAUGAAAUCGUAACUCUUAUUUUUUCAUAAAUAUGUCUUAGACUUCAUUAAUACAUGCUUGGUCAGUUCCACAUUGUAUCAUAACCUACAUUUCCACUGACAAAACCAAACACAACAAAAUUGGAAGGCUUGCAGAUGUCAACAGUUUCCAAUAAUGUGUCAGGCAUGCCCAAACCUCAGGUCUGGCAAGGUAUGGCUUUUGUGGUGAUUAAAUUCAUGUAUUAUAAAAUUUGUUAACUAUAUAUUUAUGAUGUAUGGGCAAUACAUGUGUCAACAGUUUCCAAUAAUGCAUCAGGCAUGCCCAAACCUCAGGUCUGCUUGGUACAUUUCCAUGUUUAGUGCUGUGACAAUGGCACCUUACACGUUCAUGUCAGUCACAUGUCCAAUCAUGCCCCAAGUUUACCUAUUUUCUAAUUUAGCAUAAUAAUCAUUUUGGUAGUUAUUCUGCACCACUAGCAAGGUAUGGCUUUUGUGGUGAUUAAAUUCAUGUAUUAUAAAAUUUGUUAACUAUAUAUUUAUGGUGUAUGGGCAAUACAUGUGUCGUCUAAUUUUAUGUACUUUUGGAAGUUCUUUAUCAAACUAGGAUACUAGGAUCAGUUAUCAUUCAUGGCCAACAAAAUCAGUUCCAGUAAAAACAUUGUUGAUACAAGGAACUCUUGUCUAGCCCAAUCUCAACUAUCAUCUCUCAUCUCCUCAAAUUCAUCAACUGUCUUCGCAUUGCCCUUCUCUUUCCACUUAUAGUCUGGUGGAUGAACUACUGCUAUGUUAUUUUAAAUGGCAUCAGUUGAAUAAUGUUACUUUGUCAUUAUAAACACACUAUUACUGAUCUCACAUCAGGAAUUCAGAGCUCAUGAUGAUUAGAAUUAAGUGGAGAAGUAUCACCAUCCUCGAAUUACAAGCCAGCUGAGUGCAAUCAGUGGCUUUUCACUUGCUAUUCUGUAGGAAUGAUUGAGACUGAUCGGUUGUUCAACGGGCCAUGAAUCUAAAUCAGAUAGCACGGUUCCAAGUGAGGUCCAUGCCAGUCUGGCUUACACUUAAAAAGAGAUUUACGAAAUAUACACAUAGUUCCAGCUUAAUUUAAAAAGUUGCAAACUUGACACGAGAACUUUUAAUAUUAAGAUAUGCAAAAAAUCUAAUUCUAAGUGAAAAUUAAGUAAUAAACAUGUUGGUAGAAUUCAAAUUUACUCUGACUGGAAAAAAA
rnacentral:lncRNA from 1 species